rnacentral:rRNA from 1 species
AGCAGCCGCGGUAAUUCCAGCUCCAAUAGCGUAUAUUAAAGUUGUUGCAGUUAAAAGCUCGUAGUUGAAUUUCGGGGUUAGUAGGUUGGUCAUGCCUCUGGUAUGUACUGGUCUCACUGAUUCCUCCUUCCUGAUGAACCUUAAUGCCAUUAAUUUGGUGUUUUGGGGAAUUUGGACUGUUACUUUGAAAAAAUUAGAGUGUUUAAAGCAAGCUAACGCUUGAAUACAUUAGCAUGGAAUAAUGAAAUAGGACGUUCGAUCCUAUUUUGUUGGUUUCUAGGAUUGACGUAAUGAUUAAUAGGGAUAGUUGGGGGCAUUAGUAUUCAAUUGUCAGAGGUGAAAUUCUUGGAUUUAUUGAAGACUAACUACUGCGAAAGCAUUUGCCAAGGAUGUUUUCAUAAUUCAAGAACGAAAGUUAGGGGAUCGAAGACGAUCAGAUACCGUCGUAGUCUUAACCAUAAACUAUGCCGACUAGGGAUCGGAUGAUGUUAAUUUUUUAAUGACUCAUUCGGCGCCUUAC